rnacentral:tRNA from 1 species
GGCCCCAUCGUCUAGCGGUCUAGGACGCCAGCCUCUCACGUUGGUAACGCGGGUUCAAGUCCCGCUGGGGUCA